rnacentral:rRNA from 1 species
UGGGGAAUAUUGGACAAUGGGGGCAACCCUGAUCCAGCAAUGCCGCGUGUGUGAAGAAGGCCUUCGGGUUGUAAAGCACUUUCGAUGGGGAAAAACAAGCCAGACCUAACACGUCUGGCCCUGAUGGUACCCAGAGAAGAAGCACCGGCUAACUCUGUGCCAGCAGCCGCGGUAAUACAGAGGGUGCAAGCGUUAAUCGGAAUUACUGGGCGUAAAGGGUGCGUAGGUGGUUUGUUAAGUCAGGCGUGAAAUCCCUGGGCUCAACCUGGGAACUGCGUUUGAUACUGGCAGACUCGAGUCUGGUAGAGGGUAGUGGAAUUCCGCAUGUAGCGGUGAAAUGCGUAGAUAUGCGGAGGAACAUCAGUGGCGAAGGCGGCUACCUGGACCAAGACUGACACUGAGGCACGAAAGCGUGGGGAUCAAACAGGAUUAGAUACCCUGGUAGUCCACGCCCUAAACGAUGGGUACUAGACGUUGGGAGGUUUAUCCUCUUGGUGUCGCAGCUAACGCAAUAAGUACCCCGCCUGGGGAGUACGGUCGCAAGAUUA